rnacentral:tRNA from 1 species
GCGUCCGUAGCUCAAUUGGAUAGAGCGACUGGCUUCGAACCAGUAGGUUGGGAGUUCAACUCUCCCCGGAUGCU